rnacentral:rRNA from 1 species
GACGAACGCUGGCGGCGUGCCUAAUACAUGCAAGUAGAACGCACAGUUUAUACCGUAGCUUGCUACACCAUAGACUGUGAGUUGCGAACGGGUGAGUAACGCGUAGGUAACCUGCCUGGUAGCGGGUGAUAACUAUUGGAAACGAUAGCUAAUACCGCAUAAUAUUAAUUAUUGCAUGAUAAUUAAUUGAAAGGUGCAAUUGCACCACUACCAGAUGGACCUGCGUUGUAUUAGCUAGUAGGUGAGGUAACGGCUCACCUAGGCGACGAUACAUAGCCGACCUGAGAGGGUGAUCGGCCACACUGGGACUGAGACACGGCCCAGACUCCUACGGGAGGCAGCAGUAGGGAAUCUUCGGCAAUGGACGAAAGUCUGACCGAGCAACGCCGCGUGAGUGAAGAAGGUUUUCGGAUCGUAAAGCCCGGUUGUAAGAGAAGAACGGGUGUGAGAGUGGAAAGUUCACACUGUGACGGUAUCUUACCAGAAAGGGACGGCUAACUACGUG